UUAUUGGAUGGUUUGAGGCUGGAUGUUUUGGGAUAGAUUUGCAAGUCCAGCUUGCAAGUACAUCAAAAGACUCGCCCUUUUCAUUACCAUCCAGGUUUGCUGCACCAGAACAAAAUGAAUUCAUAGAUGCAUCGAGUCUAACCUUAGUAGCUGUGAAAGUGUUCAUUCUGGAGAUGCCAUAAGAUUGAUGGACUUUGCUUGUAAAAAAUAUUGGUUAACCUUAUAUAUUUUCAAUCUGUUGCAGAAGCCAUAGACUUCAGGUUUACGUGUGAACGUAAGUGUGCUACACUUGUUGGGG
rnacentral:misc_RNA from 1 species